rnacentral:rRNA from 1 species
UACGUAGGGGGCAAGCGUUGUCCGGAUUUAUUGGGCGUAAAGAGCGUGUAGGCGGUUAGGUAGGUCCGUUGUGAAAACUCGAGGCUCAACCUCGAGACGCCGAUGGAAACCAUCUAACUAGAGUCCGGAAGAGGAGAGUGGAAUUCCUGGUGUAGCGGUGAAAUGCGCAGAUAUCAGGAGGAACACCGGUGGCGAAGGCGGUUCUCUGGGCCUGACCUGACGCUGAGGAGCGAAAGCGUGGGGAGCGAACAGG